rnacentral:lncRNA from 1 species
AUGGCAGGGAUUGCAGAUGGACCUCUCUCCACAACUGAACAACAUUGUGGCAGGCCGGAGGAGGAGAGGCCCAGCUCUGCCCCUGCUGUGCUGAGGGGCAUGGGCAUUUAGUGGUGCACCUCAUAGGUGCGAGAUGGGAUGCUGGGAAUGCUGGUGCUUCGCUUGGACUGUGCGAGUUGUUCCCAAGUGGAUGGCUACCCGGGUGCCUGUGUCUACCAAGGCUUGUUGUUUGAGGUAGGUCAGCUUGAAGAUGAUGUGUUGGGGAAAGUGUUUGACCAAGAAGGUGCUCCUGAACUUUCAAGCUUGAACUUGAGAGCUAGGCUCCUAGUUUUGUCACCUCAGCCACCAGGGCAUGUAAACUUGGAGCAGGGGAUGUUGCUGCAAGCCUUCAGCCCACCAGGAAACAGCAGCAGCAUACUUCCAUUGCCUUCAGGGAGGUCAGCAAUUCUCCCUGGGCCUUUGACUCAACCACUGUCCUGCUUGGUACAACUGUGCCUGCUUCGAAGUGGGGUUCCUUUGUCCAGUGUCCAAAAAGGCAUGUGGAAUUUUAAGAUUCCUGGAAGCCAUGUGAAUCAUGAGUGUGCAGUCCUUGGCUGA